rnacentral:rRNA from 1 species
UACAGAGGGUGCGAGCGUUAAUCGGAAUUACUGGGCGUAAAGCGCGUGUAGGCGGUCGUGCAAGUCGGGUGUGAAAGCCCUGGGCUCAACCCAGGAAGUGCAUUCGAUACUGCUCGACUGGAGUCCCGGAGAGGAUGGUGGAACUCUCGGUGUAGAGGUGAAAUUCGUAGAUAUCGAGAAGAACACCGGUGGCGAAGGCGGCCAUCUGGACGGUGACUGACGCUGAGACGCGAAAGCGUGGGGAGCAAACAGG